rnacentral:rRNA from 1 species
AGCGAACGCUGGCGGCGUACUUAACACAUGCAAGUCGAACGGGGAUCGACACGUGAGCAAUCACGUGGCGGUCUUAGUGGCGUACGGGUGAGUAACACGUGGGCAACCUGCCCUUGAGUCUGGGAUAACCUCCCGAAAGGGAGGCUAAUACCGGAUACGGUCCUCGGGUCGCGAGAUCUGAGGAAGAAAGGUGGCGCAAGCUACCGCUCUUGGAGGGACUCGCGGCCUAUCAGCAGUUGGUGAGGUAACGGCUCACCAAGGCUAUGACGGGUAGCUGGUCUGAGAGGACGACCAGCCACAC